GAACCUGCUAAUGGAGCAUUAGCUGAUGAACAAGGCAGCCUUACACUCGCU
rnacentral:rRNA from 1 species